GCGGGUCGGGCGCAGCAGGCGCUGCACCGUCCCCUGCCCGGACGCCACCGCCGGUUCCAGGUCCGCCGACCCGCAC
rnacentral:tRNA from 1 species